rnacentral:rRNA from 1 species
UACAGAGGUCUCAAGCGUUGUUCGGAUUCAUUGGGCGUAAAGGGUGCGUAGGCGGCGCGGUAAGUCGGGUGUGAAAUCUCGGGGCUUAACUCCGAAACUGCAUUCGAUACUGCCGUGCUUGAGGACUGGAGAGGAGACUGGAAUUUACGGUGUAGCGGUGAAAUGCGUAGAUAUCGUAAGGAAGACCAGUGGCGAAGGCGGGUCUCUGGACAGUUCCUGACGCUGAGGCACGAAGGCCAGGGGGAGCAAAACGGG